UCACAGCUCUUUGAAUGCCACUGCGUGUUAAGUCCACCCUCAGCAUGGUGGUUUCCAAGGUGACGUCCAUCCUCGUCCAUGAUCACAGCUCUGCAGGUGCUGCUCUCCCAGCCACACAGAAUCCCACGUGUUCACAGAGAGCGCUCCCAGCCAACAUGUCUCCUUCCAUGGUUGCAGCUCUACAGGUGCUAUUCCAUGUAGGAACGGAG